rnacentral:pre_miRNA from 1 species
AGAGGGAUAGGUGGGUCAAAUGGUGGUUCCAUUCCCAGAUUUCAAAGGAAUAUCCAUACUGCUUUCCAUAAUGGCUGCACCAAUUUGCAGUCCCACCAGUAAU